GGAAAAGUCAGUCAAAGAGGGUAAAAACCCCGUAGACGAAAUGUGGAAGACACCUAGGAGGAUCCUGAGUACGGCGGAACACGAGAAAUUCCGUCGGAAUCCGGGAGGACCAUCUCCCAAGGCUAAAUACUCCCUAGUGACCGAUAGUGAACCAGUACCGUGAGGGAAAGGUGAAAAGCACCCCGGAAGGGGAGUGAAAUAGAACCUGAAACCGUGUGCCUACAACAAGUCAAAGCCCGUUAAUGGGUGAUGGCGUGCCUUUUGUAGAAUGAACCGGCGAGUUACGAUUGCAUGCGAGGUUAAGUUGAAGAGACGGAGCCGCAGCGAAAGCGAGUCUGAAUAGGGCGUUUGAGUAUGUAGUCGUAGACCCGAAACCAUGUGAUCUACCCAUGUCCAGGUUGAAGGUGCGGUAAAACGCACUGGAGGACCGAACCCACGUACGUUGAAAAGUGCGGGGAUGAGGUGUGGGUAGCGGAGAAAUUCCAAACGAACUUGGAGAUAGCUGGUUCUCUCCGAAAUAGCUUUAGGGCUAGCCUCGGAAUUGAGAAUGAUGGAGGUAGAGCACUGUUUGGACUAGGGGCCCAUCUCGGGUUACCGAAUUCAGAUAAACUCCGAAUGCCAUUCAUUCAUAUCCGGGAGUCAGACUGUGAGUGAUAAGAUCCAUAGUCGAAAGGGAAACAGCCCAGACCACCAGCUAAGGUCCCAAAAUAUAUGUUAAGUGGAAAAGGAUGUGGGGUUGCACAGACAACUAGG
rnacentral:rRNA from 1 species